UUGGGACAAAAAUCAGAAGACGGACGGGCUGGUUUCGCUCAAGUUUACUUCCGCAUUUUACCGCAUUACUAACCUGGAGUUAGUUUAUAUGUGGCAGCCGAGUAGGCCACGUCGUGCACUCGCUCAGGAUUAGGCCUCGGUGACUAACUCUUCUGAUGAAGUGUUUUGACGAGCUUUUCAAACACACGGACAAUGAUGACAAUUACGCUCACUAAACGAAAGUCGCGCUUAAUCUGAAUCACGGGUCGCUGUUGAAAACUACCUCGACGUUAGAGGAGCAGAUUGCUGUCUAAAUAGCUGUCGAACCGUCUGUAGGACAGGAAACUCCUUUACAAAGAGCUGAUCUGUGUGAGCUGAAUCGACAGAUUAAUUGUUCUCAUCGAGACAAUAAGAUGACUACAUGCCGUGGGUGCUGGGCGUCUUUAGUUACCGGAUGUUAUGGAUGUCGCACCAGGAAAGAUGUUGAAAACAAAGAAGCAACGAAACUCACGGAGAGGCUGUGGUUCAUCUUCGUGCUGUUAGUGUCUUUCACGUCACUGGCUAACAUGUUCUUCUGGUUGGCCGCAGUCAAUGACUCAUCCGACUUCAACAGAGACCUUGCUGAGAUGACAGGCCUGUGGUGGCGCUAUUACAUCUUCUUUAUGGCCUUGUCGUGUGCACUCAGCAGCUAUGCCGUUCUACUUUUGAUGUUCGCAUUUUUACACAUUGCUAUUGGACAGAAGUUACAGCUUCAUGGAGCGCACAAGAUUGGUCUGAUUCUGGAUCUUAGCUUGUCAGUUGCACUGUUAGUAUUUCCGUGUGCCGUGCUAGGAUCAAGCUCUCUAUGGCAUUUCCUACCACAGGCGCUGCAGUUUACAGGACCUUUUCUGCAUCUUGUUGGUGUGGUAAUCAUGACUGGGUUAAGUUGGUUUGUUGCUGGAGGAAUGGGCACCCUCCAACGGAAAGGAAUUCCAGUUCGUGAUGUAGCUUUAUGGUAUUUCCUCGUUCUCAUCGGUCUCUACAUUUCACCCGUCUUCAUCCGUUCACCAUGCCUGCUUAAGUAUGACGAGCUACCACCCAAGCCCCUGGUGUUUGCCUAUAGGGGUGCUGAGCAACUAGCACCAGAGAACACACUCAUUGCAUUUGAGCUUUCCCUUGAUGUCUACAAUGCCCAAGGUAUCCACACUGAUGUACGCGUAAGUUAUGAUGGCGAACCGUACAUCAUGCGUGAUGACAAACUCACCCGUACAACCAACGUGGAGGACGUGUUCCCUGAGCGCUACGCAGAUCAUUCAGAUAGCUUUACAUUGGCAGAGCUGAAGCAGUUGAACGCAGGGUCCUGGUUUAUUACGUGUAACCCAUUUGGGACUACUAGCAGGCUGACGGAGCUUGAAAUUAUACGUUACAGAAAGCAGAAAAUUCCCACCUUGAGGGAAAUGUUACUUCAGGUCAAGGGGAGAAACAAGACAGUAUUGCUCGAUGUCCGCACACCACCUGAUGACCAUCCUUACUCCGAGGAUUGGUUGAACAUAACGUUGCAGGUUAUACUGGAUUCGGGCGUCGCCGAAGAGGACGUGAGUUUCUGGAAAGCACCUAAUAAUGACACCAAGUACACGUUUGCAAUAAACACGUUCGAUGAACGAAGACUGAUGACAACGUAUAACGACAUACCUUUCUUCCAAAUAAGGAGUGAUGCAGCGUUGAAUGUAACAACAAACGUUUGGACAGUCAACGAAGAUUGGCUGUUUUCCUUAUUCUGGUGCGCAGGCGCAACCUCCAUAUCCACGUCAUCGUGUCAAAGGGUACGAAUAGGCGACGGCCCUUUGUGGCAGCUGGUAAGCAUGUUGAGGUUUUCCCACAUAAAGCGUUUCCUUCUGUAAAGGCAAUAUGAUUUGUUUGUCGUCAGAAUCAAACCAUAGCGCAAUCAAACCCAGCCGUGCCAAGCUUCAUCUAACCAAUUCAUUCUUGUAGGAAUGAUUCUCAGCACGUUUUCUGCCCUUACAACCUUGUUCUCAUUUCAUUUGUUGUCCUCAUGCAUACUAUCCUUGUUCCCUGUUGGCUGAACCAUUUCCCUCUGUUUUACAAUGACAAUUUGAUGACUCGCCUAAUUGACGUUCAACCUUUUCCAUACAACCUUGAGUUCAAUUUAUCGCAUUUUUCCAAUCUGGCGGAUGUUGUUCUCUUUGCAAGCAGGAUUUGUUGAUCAAAUUCAGUCGAGUUAAUUGCUCGUUAUAUUCGAGUGACUUCUACUGGCUCGCGAGACCUAAUGAGCAGAAAACAUCGAAAUGGAUGCAAAAAAUUCAACUAGCCCUUACCUCCACCCAACUAGAGCCAACAAAACACGGAUGGACGGUAACAGUGAUAACCCAGUAGUAAAUCACAUACCCGAUAUGUCGGUCAUGCUGGCAACUUAAUCGAAACACACCGUACCGACUAAGCCGUGUACUUCCAUCCUGACAGUCAUAAGAAGGCUGGUGUGAUCACACUUUGAGCAUGCUGCUUCGUGUCAUUGCCACAACCAGUGAUUCAGUUGGUGAAGGGAGAAAUAAAAACGCUUGUCAGAGCCCGCUUCACUAUCGGAUAAUGUGGAUUCUUUUUGAUGUAGUCUCCUUUAUCUGGGUGAUAAUUAUCUUUAUCAUU
rnacentral:misc_RNA from 1 species